rnacentral:lncRNA from 1 species
AUGAUGAGAAAUGUUUUAAAAGAGGGAGCAAACGUGGAAGAACAAGAAUAUAGGAAGAAGGAACUGAUCUCGACUUCGAUCUUUGCAGCAAAAACAAGGACCAGUUUCAGCAGCUACUGUGCUGUCAGUAUAUCUACAGCACAAACAAACUUGCUUCAUCCAACCCUCUCCGUUCUUGGCAGCAAAACGGCAGUUGUGGACCUGCCACUUCCUUCAGUCCUGCCUUCCUCUCAGCCCUCUCCAUUGACAGACCCAAACAGAAAACUGUGCUGGAAUUCUCUAGCUGAUGACAUUUUGAAUUCAGCUGCACAUGGCUUCCAACCCUCCAUUCAGCCUUCCUUAUGUUACUUAACUGCAUUUGAACCACUGUGGGACCAGCACUGGGCUUUACUGUAAAUCUAGACCCAUCUAGCUUAUUUGUGCAAAAUGCAAACUCCCAAGGGAAUUCACAUUUGAGUAAUGAAGUGGUGGUUUUGAUCUACUGGAGAAGCUUUUCCAUUCACCAACCUGCUUUAAAAAGGUUUGAUAUGCUAAGGUCUCCUUCGUGACAAUAUUUAUAAACCAUUAAAGGUUUUAUCUCAGAUUGCUAGUGCUCUCUUAAAACACCUGCUUUUCUCCUGCUCCCUUAUUUUUACCUGUUCACAGAUACAUCCCUCUGCAGCACUCCUCUACAACCAAACAAGGUUUGGAAGGAAAAGAACAGAAUCAAAGAUCUUAGCUCUGUUGCUGUAUCUGUACAAAUCUGCCAAAUACUCACGAAAGCUCCUAGGUUUGAGCUGGUAAAUUGUUUUUUAGAGAGCAUACAGAAAGAUUACAACAGAUGGAAGCAAAGUCAUUAAAUAUGUCUUUAAAGUUGAUAAAGCUGUGCAGAACCACAUCAGAUAUUCACCAGUGACUCUUUCCACCUCAUUCUGAUGAUACUAUACUGAGCAGUACAUGAGCUCAAGACAAGAGUUUGGAAGAUAAAAAUCCUUUUACAUGCAAAUGAUAUCCUCUUACUUGGUACAGUCCCAGAUCAGUUUACUCUGUAUUGCAUUCUCACUUUAUUGAAUAAAUUGAAUAGAAUAGAUACA